GUGUGCUCUUCAGGGAUUAGGCAGCUGCCGUAUAGGAUAAUGGAAAAUACUGUAAUUUUAUUAGAAUAACAAACACCGUAAGUGACUAACGCUUCAAUUUAGAAUAGCAGCUCUUCAGAUGUAGAUUUCCAGAUAAAAUAUUUGAUGUUCCAUUGCCUAAGCCUAUCUCAACCAUCCCUGCCUACACUGCCUACAGUAACCAUCCCUUUCAAGGAAUCAGAGUCUGUUGUGGAGUGGAAGGACAAAAGCUAUCAAGGGUGCUUUUCCUCUUGCCAAGUGCAUUCCUGCUGAAUAACUGAGCAGAGAACUACAUGCUCUUUCUCCUGCUCUCCACCAGGUGUUAAUCUAGGCUAUAAAUUUUAUAAAUAUAGAAGAGGAUACUGGGAAAUUCUGUAGGAGUUGGCAGGAAGAUAACUUGAAAACCUGUUCCAGAGAAAAAGUCAUUAUGUUCUAAAUCAGCAGAAGAUGCAUAGGAAAUAGGAGUAAAACAUACAUUACUGAUUUUCACUGGACAACACUCUAGCUGAAGAUAUAAAUUAAAUGGACAGAUUCACCUGGAGCUGUCUGUGAAUUCAGCAACCUUACAAUUUCUGAACCCAAGGUGAACUGGUUAAACAGAAGGAAAAAGAUGAAAGCUUAAUUCUCAAAUUGCACCAUUUGUCAAAGCAGAUGAAGAGUGUUCAUGAAUAUGGAAGACUGGUUGUGCAUCUGUGAAUCCAGCAAAAUCUGGCCUAAUGAUUAUUUAAAUAGUGAGAACACAUUCACAGCCCCACGUUCCAUCUUCCCUUGGGAAAUCUUCGAUCUUUACUUCAGAUGUCACGCCAGAGGCAUCCGAGGCACCAGUCAAGUACAACAGAUCCUGUUGCAAGUUAAGGAGUGCAGACGGACCAGAUUUCCAGAGGUACCUAAGAAUUAGGAUAAACCACUUUUUUCCUAAUCCAGUGAUCCUGGAGACAUCUUUUACCUACAACUAAAUACUAGGGAAUGUGGCCUUAUAUAAAAACAGCUUACAUCCAUCAGCCUUCACCACUUGUUUCCAAGGGACAAUACUCUCCUUACUACAUAUUUUUAUAGCUUGCUCCAAAAUGAUGGCACACACAAACACUACACACAGAGAAAUGUCCAGACUCUAGAAAAGUUGUAACCUACAUAGUGAAUCAGAAGAAAUAAGCUCCAAGGUUUCUAAAAUGUAGUGCACUUAAUGGUACUGCUCCAUUCUCAUCCAAAGAUCAACAGCCAGCACUUCCGCAACCUCAUUUAAAAUCUUCACCUCACUGGAAGGAGUCCCACUAACUUCAAAAACACUCUAGAUGCCAGGGCAAAAAGGUUACCCUUGUCUCUUCAAAGUGAGGGUGCCUACUGUGAUCUUUGGUAUGCAGAGUAUUUCCUUCCAUUUUGGAGAACGUGGUCACCAACUCUGGAACUUCCUUCCAAAUAGUUCUUGAAGUCACUGUGUAUAAGAAGGUAAUUGACUUCACUCUCUAGUGAACAAUUAUGCUCUUAGCUGAUUAGAAUUUAAGAGCGGGCUUAAGAUUAACACUUGACAUUUGCUGAAAGCCCUGAAAUUUAAAAACAAGAAUUACUUGGAAGUUACCCAAUAUUUUAAAUAUCAUGCGUAUGACUCAAAAUAAAACUUCACUUUUGAUAAAAUAUUAAAUAUACAUGUUAGGUAUUGCAUUUAACCUACUAAAAUAUUCAAUAUACAGAUCCAAAAGGUGAAGGAAACAUACUUAACACAUCACCUUCCUCAAAAACACCUCUGGAAAUUGUCCUAUAUGAUUAAUUUGUAUCCAUCAGUGGCAUUUAAACCAGCUAGAUGCUUUAUACACUCAAUAGCAUAAAAAAAGCUGGAAGAUCAGCUAUGUAAAUUAUCUUUCUUGCAUUAGAAAGAGUAAUUCCUGUACUCAGGUGUGAUAUGCCAUGCAUAAAAAUGUGCUAAAGUUACCAUGCUUAGGUCAUCAGCAUCCAUUUAGAUCUAAAAAGCAGGCAAUGCAUUUUCUACUCAAAGAUUUCUCACUGCAUGCUUUUACUUUUUCUUCGUACAUCACUACCUUAUUCCUGGCUUUGGUUUCAGAGGUAUUGCCUAGUCUAACAACAUAAAGCAUAAAAAUACUGUCAUGAGAUAGCUGCAAUCCCCUGGGACUAAACACUUGACCAAGGUUUCAUUUGACUAUAUUUCCUUGUUUGUCUCUGUACAACUGUGCCAGCAAUGUGGAUAGCAAUGAUUAUAUACAGAACUGCUACCCACAGAUGAACACUCUAGGAAAGAGCAAUACAUUAAAAUUUGAUAUUUAUAGUACUUCUGAAUUCUGAGCAUCUAUUUUGAUUUUUAGAUCUACUGACGGAUUUGUAACUGAAAUGCGUUUUUAAUACGAAGUAAUACAUUAAACAUUUUGCAACCUGUCAAUGCUGAGACAGCAGAGAGGCUGUUCAACCUAACUAGCAAAUGAUUCCCAGAGCUGUACUGUCAGUAUUAAUGAUGUCAGACCACAAACAUGAAAGAAAGGAAUGAUUACUUUACACAACCAUGACUCCUUUUGAUGGAGUAGGAAGCGAAGGUUGCACAGCAAGGUAUGGCUCAUUUCAGCUACAGAUAGGAUAUACAUAGACCCCCAUGCCCCCAAGGAAGGUGAAGAAUGACAGAAGGACCAGCACUUCUCAGUUCCUUGAAAUUCAAAGAUGGAACAAGUAGUCAAAGACUAAAACUAAGAGAGAGUCGGGAUGGUCACAGCACCAAGCCUGCCGGAAUUCAAGAAGGAUUUGGAUGAUAGCCUCAGGCACACAGUGUGACUCUUGGGGAUGGUCCUUUGCAGGACUGGGGUUUGGACUCUGUGAUCCUUGUGAGUUACUUCCAACUCAGCAUAUUCUGUGAUUCUGUAAGUGUGAGAAAAAGGUCGACCAUGGAGAUCUCAAAGACACACAUUUACUAUGGGAUACAUGAAACUUUCCUUCUUAGAUAACUAAUUUAAACUACUUUUUUAGAAAAAUAGCAGCCAACUGGUGGUGUCUUUUCAGGAUGGUGGAAGCCAGGAUUUCAGACUCUAGCAGCCAGAAAGAAUAGCCCUCAGAUUGGUGUUUGACUCAGUAGCUAAAGCCUAAGGUGCAGGAAGUUUUAACCAGCUCUGGGGGUCACAUGUUGCUCUGUGUUUUGUCUGAUGUUGGCAUAGCCCUGAAGGAUAUAGAAGAGGUAGCUUGUCUUCUAACUGAGAGCAAGAGAAACAUUAGUAAACUAGAAGAAGUUAACAAACCAAAAAGAAACUGUGAGUUAAGAUACAGUCUCUACUUCAGUACUCUUUGUGCAGAAAUGGCCUAAUGUUAAAAUCAUCAAGUUAUGCCUCUGAAUAAUAAAGAAAUGUAUUGACAAGGAGUAUACAAAGUGUAUAAAAAAUAAAACCAUAUAAUAUAAGUCUGAGAUACAGCUGAUGUGCCCAGUAGCUGUUCUCAGCAGGGAGCUUCCCCAAACCUCUACUGAAGACUUGUAACAUGAAGAUGUGGAGCCUGCUGUGGCAGUAAGCAGUAAUGAGGUCCUUCUGCUGAUGUACAGACACUGUCCAGUCAAUUGACACUGCUGAGUGUCUGUUCUCUGAGCUCUGUUCUCUCUUCCUGGGUUAUGGAAUAUGAAACUUGUCAUAAAUACAAAGAGAAUGAAGAAGUAACUUUAAAUAAUCUAACCAAACUCAGUUUGAAAUUCAGUAACAGAAAAGUAUUAGGUAAAGGUUCUGCCUUGCUAACACAUUGAAAACAAGGGAAGUAACAACCAUUUUGGGCUUUAUACUUUCUCACAGGACAAUGAAACAUCACAAGAAAAGUUUGUAAUCCGAGACAUUACUAUUACAAAGCAAUCUGGUCACAAGCAUCUGGAGGGCACUCAGUCACACAGGUAUAUCCUCAGUGACAUGUCCUGGAAAGAUGGCAAAACAUUGUCACAUUGUUGGAAUUUCCGGGUAACUCACACUGAUAAUUACACAAUGUCUUCUAAACAAGUACAAAUAAAACUGCAGGAAAUUAAAAACUGCUUUAAAAGAAAGACUGUCAAAUGAGAGAGGGUUUCCUUGAUAGCUCCACAGUAAAUGUCUCAAAUAACCAUGAUUCAACAAACUCCUGCAUCAGAAACUUCCAGCUUCUUGCUUUGAAAUCUCAACAGAACAGUGUUUAGCUUGCAGAGCCAAUGAAAGGCAGAAAAACCUCUUGAUAUCCUGCCCAAUUUGCUAGUCAAUAUAAAGCAUGAAAAAAAUGCUUGUGUUUUCCUAAGUGCUUAAUACCAAACAAGUAUCCCUUUUACUGUCAGAAACAGGGUCUUUUCUUCCGUUUUUUAAAGAACAGUGCAUUUAUUCAGGCACUCAAACAGAGACUCACAAGUGUUAGUUUAGACACACACCAAAACAAAACAAACAACAAAUUAAAAAAAAACAAACACUCAAUCAAAAAGAUCUCUUCUUUAGGAGUUUCAACACUACCAGAUACAUUCCUGGUGCAGGGCUAUACUGCUCCAGACUCAUCCUAGCAGAAAUACCAGAAGACAAUGAAGACUGAAGUGACUGUAGGCCCCACCACAUUCUGCAGUGAUGCUCUGGGAGGGAAGAAGGCUCAG